rnacentral:rRNA from 1 species
GGUUGAAGGUUGGGUAACACUAACUGGAGGACCGAACCGACUAAUGUUGAAAAAUUAGCGGAUGACCUGUGGCUGGGGGUGAAAGGCCAAUCAAACCGGGAGAUAGCUGGUUCUCCCCGAAAGCUAUUUAGGUAGCGCCUCGUGAAUUCAUCUCCGGGGGUAGAGCACUGUUUCGGCUAGGGGGCCAUCCCGGCUUACCAACCCGAUGCAAACUGCGAAUACCGGAGAAUGUUAUCACGGGAGACACACGGCGGGUGCUAACGUCCGUCGUGAAGAGGGAAACAACCCAGACCGCCAGCUAAGGUCCCAAAGUCAUGGUUAAGUGGGAAACGAUGUGGGAAGGCCCAGACAGCCAGGAUGUUGGCUUAGAAGCAGCCAUCAUUUAAAGAAAGCGUAAUAGCUCACUGGUCGAGUCGGCCUGCGCGGAAGAUGUAACGGGGCUAAACCAUGCACCGAAGCUGCGGCAGCGACACUGUGUGUUGUUGGGUAGGGGAGCGUUCUGUAAGCCUGUGAAGGUGUGUCGUGAGGCAUGCUGGAGGUAUCAGAAGUGCGAAUGCUGACAUAAGUAACGAUAAAGCGGGUGAAAAGCCCGCUCGCCGGAAGACCAAGGGUUCCUGUCCAACGUUAAUCGGGGCAGGGUGAGUCGACCCCUAAGGCGAGGCCGAAAGGCGUAGUCGAUGGGAAACGGGUUAAUAUUCCCGUACUUGGUGUUACUGCGAAGGGGGGACGGAGAAGGCUAUGUUGGCCGGGCGACGGUUGUCCCGGUUUAAGCGUGUAGGUGUGUGUUCCAGGUAAAUCCGGUUCACUUUAACACUGAGGCGUGACGACGAGGCACUACGGUGCUGAAGCAACAAAUGCCCUGCUUCCAGGAAAAGCCUCUAAGCAUCAGGUAACAUCAAAUCGUACCCCAAACCGACACAGGUGGUCAGGUAGAGAAUACCAAGGCGCUUGAGAGAACUCGGGUGAAGGAACUAGGCAAAAUGGUGCCGUAACUUCGGGAGAAGGCACGCUGACACGUAGGUGAAGUGAUUUACUCAUGGAGCUGAAGUCAGUCGAAGAUACCAGCUGGCUGCAACUGUUUAUUAAAAACACAGCACUGUGCAAACACGAAAGUGGACGUAUACGGUGUGACGCCUGCCCGGUGCCGGAAGGUUAAUUGAUGGGGUCAGCGCAAGCGAAGCUCCUGAUCGAAGCCCCGGUAAACGGCGGCCGUAACUAUAACGGUCCUAAGGUAGCGAAAUUCCUUGUCGGGUAAGUUCCGACCUGCACGAAUGGCGUAAUGAUGGCCAGGCUGUCUCCACCCGAGACUCAGUGAAAUUGAACUCGCUGUGAAGAUGCAGUGUACCCGCGGCAAGACGGAAAGACCCCGUGAACCUUUACUAUAGCUUGACACUGAACAUUGAGCCUUGAUGUGUAGGAUAGGUGGGAGGCUUUGAAGUGUGGACGCCAGUCUGCAUGGAGCCGACCUUGAAAUACCACCCUUUAAUGUUUGAUGUUCUAACGUGGACCCGUUACCCGGGUUGCGGACAGUGUCUGGUGGGUAGUUUGACUGGGGCGGUCUCCUCCUAAAGAGUAACGGAGGAGCACGAAGGUUGGCUAAUCCUGGUCGGACAUCAGGAGGUUAGUGCAAUGGCAUAAGCCAGCUUGACUGCGAGCGUGACGGCGCGAGCAGGUGCGAAAGCAGGUCAUAGUGAUCCGGUGGUUCUGAAUGGAAGGGCCAUCGCUCAACGGAUAAAAGGUACUCCGGGGAUAACAGGCUGAUACCGCCCAAGAGUUCAUAUCGACGGCGGUGUUUGGCACCUCGAUGUCGGCUCAUCACAUCCUGGGGCUGAAGUAGGUCCCAAGGGUAUGGCUGUUCGCCAUUUAAAGUGGUACGCGAGCUGGGUUUAGAACGUCGUGAGACAGUUCGGUCCCUAUCUGCCGUGGGCGCUGGAGAACUGAGGGGGGCUGCUCCUAGUACGAGAGGACCGGAGUGGACGCAUCACUGGUGUUCGGGUUGUCAUGCCAAUGGCACUGCCCGGUAGCUAAAUGCGGAAGAGAUAAGUGCUGAAAGCAUCUAAGCACGAAACUUGCCCCGAGAUGAGUUCUCCCUGAGACUUAGAGUCUCCUGAAGGAACGUUGAAGACGACGACGUUGAUAGGCCGGGUGUGUAAGCGCAGCGAUGCGUUGAGCUAACCGGUACUAAUGAACCGUGAGGCUUAACCUUACA